ACGACUCUCGGCAACGGAUAUCUCGGCUCUCGCAUCGAUGAAGAACGUAGCGAAAUGCGAUACUUGGUGUGAAUUGCAGAAUCCCGUGAACCAUCGAGUUUUUGAACGCAAGUUGCGCCCAAAGCCUUUUGGCCGAGGGCACGUCUGCCUGGGUGUCACGCAACAU
rnacentral:rRNA from 2 species